rnacentral:antisense_RNA from 1 species
GGAAUCCGUUUCCUCUCCGCAUCUGUGGCAGAGAUGUCCCUGCCCCAACCGGUGGGUGUGCGGAUUCUGUGCGGAUUCGCACGGUGUUUGGCACGUGAAAGAAAGCACAGAAGAGUGUGUGGAAAAAGAAACUCAGUUUCCCUCACCGUACAAGAGACUUCUGACAGCAGAAGUGUGGGGGUUUCUCCCCACCAGCAAGCAAGCAAUCAAUCCUCUGGGUCUCACUCUAUUGCUCAGGCUGGAGUGCAGUGGCUCCAUCUCAGCUCACUGAGACCUUCACCUCCCAGGUUCAAGUGAUCCUCCCACCUCAGCCUCCAGAGUAGCUGGGACUACAGACAAGGUCUCACUGUGUCACCAAGGCUGGCUCAAUCACAGCUCACUGCAGCCUCGACCUCCUGGGUUCAAGCGAUCCUCCUGCCUCAGCCUCCCAAGUAGCUGGGACUAUAGGGAUGCACCAUCAUGCCCAG